CAGUCGCCACGGGAAUACGAAGGGUGCAAGCGUUACUCGGAAUUACUGGGCGUAAAGCGUGCGUAGGUGGUGGUUUAAGUCCGUUGUGAAAGCCCUGGGCUCAACCUGGGAAUUGCAGCGGAUACUGGGUCACUAGAGUGUGGUAGAGGAUAGUGGAAUUUCCGGUGUAGCAGUGAAAUGCGUAGAGAUCGGAAGGAACAUCUGUGGCGAAGGCGACUAUCUGGGCCAACACUGACACUGAGGCACGAAAGCGUGGGGAGCAAACAGGAUUAGAUACCCCCGUAGUCCCUGUCUCUUAUAC
rnacentral:rRNA from 1 species